rnacentral:tRNA from 1 species
GCCGAAAUAGUUUAAUCUAGGCUAAAACAAAUUCCUUGUAAGAAUUAGUUAUUGGUUCGAGCCCAAUUUUUGGCU